AUACCAGACUCCUACGGGAGGCAGCAGUGGGGAAUCUUCCGCAAUGGGCGAAAGCCUGACGGAGCAACGCCGCGUGAUCGAAUGAAGGCCUUCGGGUUGUAAAGAUCUGUUGACAGGGACGAAUAGGCCAUGCGAAUAGUUUGGUGUAUGACGGUACCUGUUUAGAAAGCUCCGGCUAACUACGUGCCAGCAGCCGCGGUAAUACGUAGGGAGCAAGCGUUGUCCGGAAUUACUGGGCGUAAAGGGCGCGUAGGUGGGUGCUUAAGUCAGGUGUGAAAACUCUGGGCUCAACCUGGAGACUGCACUUGAAACUGGGUAUCUUGAGGGCAGGAGAGGAAAGUAGAAUUCCUAGCGUAGCGGUGAAAUGCGUAGAUAUUAGGAGGAACACCAGUGGCGAAGGCGGCUUACUGGACUGUAACUGACGUUGAGGCUCGAAAGCGUGGGGAGCAAACAGGAUUAGAUACCCGAGUACA
rnacentral:rRNA from 1 species